rnacentral:lncRNA from 1 species
GUCUGUCACUAGGAAGCAAUGUAAACACUGCAUUUUCUCUAAAAAGUCAGUGUUUACAUUGAAAAGCCUGCAGGGACAGGCUAUAGACACCAGAACCACUACAUUAAGCUGUGUGUGCGCGCCUGCUAGUGAGUGGGCUUGCUUGUGUGUGUGUGUGUGCCUGCUACUGAGUGAGCUUGUGUUUUUAUGUCAAGGACCUUAUGUAUAUCAGUGAGAUUGUUUGUCUAUGAGGCUGUGUAUCAAUCAGCUUGUGUCAGUGAGAUUG